AUUGAACGCUGGCGGCAUGCUUUACACAUGCAAGUCGAACGGUAACAGGCCGCAAGGUGCUGACGAGUGGCGAACGGGUGAGUAAUGCAUCGGAACGUGCCCAGUCGUGGGGGAUAACGCAGCGAAAGCUGCGCUAAUACCGCAUACGAUCUAUGGAUGAAAGCGGGGGACCGUAAGGCCUCGCGCGAUUGGAGCGGCCGAUGUCAGAUUAGGUAGUUGGUGGGGUAAAGGCUCACCAAGCCAACGAUCUGUAGCUGGUCUGAGAGGACGACCAGCCACACUGGGACUGAGACACGGCCAAGACUCCUACGGGAGGCAGCAGUGGGGAAUUUUGGACAAUGGGCGCAAGCCUGAUCCAGCAAUGCCGCGUGCAGGAAGAAGGCCUUCGGGUUGUAAACUGCUUUUGUACGGAACGAAACGGUCCUGGUUAAUACCCGGGGCUAAUGACGGUACCGUAAGGAUAAGCACCGGCUAACUACGUGCCAGCCGCCGCGGUAAAAC
rnacentral:rRNA from 1 species